AACGAACGCUGGCGGCAGGCUUAACACAUGCAAGUCGAGCGCCCCGCAAGGGGAGCGGCAGACGGGUGAGUAACGCGUGGGAAUCUACCCAGUUCUACGGAAUAACCCAGGGAAACUUGGACUAAUACCGUAUACGCCCUACGGGGGAAAGAUUUAUCGGAAUUGGAUGAGCCCGCGUUGGAUUAGCUAGUUGGUGGGGUAAUGGCCUACCAAGGCGACGAUCCAUAGCUGGUCUGAGAGGAUGAUCAGCCACACUGGGACUGAGACACGGCCCAGACUCCUACGGGAGGCAGCAGUGGGGAAUAUUGGACAAUGGGCGCAAGCCUGAUCCAGCCAUGCCGCGUGAGUGAUGAAGGCCUUAGGGUUGUAAAGCUCUUUCAGUGGGGACGAUAAUGACGGUACCCACAGAAGAAGCCCCGGCUAACUUCGUGCCAGCCGCCGCCGUAAUAC
rnacentral:rRNA from 1 species